CAGAUCUAACUGCAUUGUCGGCGAGUUGGAGUUGGAGUCAGGGCAAGACUUGGACGCAUUCUCGACAUAGUUCUGGUUGCAUAGAAUUGAGGGUCGCAAGAUCUUUGGGUUUUCUGACUUUUGUUUCGCAGAGCCCACUUAACAAUAUUUACCCAAUUUAUUGGGAGAACCUCUCUGCUCUUGCUAAAGCCAGACUCCUAAUAUCCAUUCGCUAGUCUCCAGUUGUACUCAGUGGAUCUAAUGCCAUUCCAAAUGCCAAACAACGUGGGCUGCAGUUUUGGUUCUGUUGCUGCUGCUGUUACUUUUAUGGCGGAAUGUGACAGUCAGCAGCUGAGCGCUAAAUUGCUUUUGAUUGUUCUUAAAUAUAAAAAUAAAAGAAUUAAACAAAAAUAUGUAGUUGCGCACACAAAAAUGUCAACCUCCAAUUAAAUAUUUAUUUGUUCGAUUCAAUAAAUCAACUAACAAUUUCCA